rnacentral:rRNA from 1 species
ACGGGUGAGUAAUACAUCGGAACGUGCCCAAGAGUGGGGGAUAACGGAGCGAAAGCUUUGCUAAUACCGCAUACGAUCUACGGAUGAAAGCAGGGGACCGCAAGGCCUUGCGCUCACGGAGCGGCCGAUGGCAGAUUAGGUAGUUGGUGGGAUAAAAGCUUACCAAGCCGACGAUCUGUAGCUGGUCUGAGAGGACGACCAGCCACACUGGGACUGAGACACGGCCCAGACUCCUACGGGAGGCAGCAGUGGGGAAUUUUGGACAAUGGGCGCAAGCCUGAUCCAGCCAUGCCGCGUGCAGGAUGAAGGCCUUCGGGUUGUAAACUGCUUUUGUACGGAACGAAAAGCCUCUUUCUAAUAAAGAGGGGUCAUGACGGUACCGUAAGAAUAAGCACCGGCUAACUACGUGCCAGCAGCCGCGGUAAUACGUAGGGUGCGAGCGUUAAUCGGAAUUACUGGGCGUAAAGCGUGCGCAGGCGGUAAUGUAAGACAGAUGUGAAAUCCCCGGGCUCAACCUGGGAACUGCAUUUGUGACUGCAUUGCUGGAGUGCGGCAGAGGGGGAUGGAAUUCCGCGUGUAGCAGUG